CCCUGUACGAUCACCAAAGUUAAACAAUGUUGAGCCUGGUCAGUACCUUGAUGGGUGACUACUUGGGAAUACCAGGUGCUGUAAGC